CAGAGAUUUCCGAAUGGGGAAACCCAGCAUGAGUUAUGUCAUGUUAUCGAUAUGUGAAUACAUAGCAUAUCAGAAGGCACACCCGGAGAACUGAAACAUCUUAGUACCCGGAGGAAGAGAAAGAAAAUUCGAUUCCCUUAGUAGCGGCGAGCGAAACGGGAAGAGCCCAAACCAACAAGCUUGCUUGUUGGGGUUGUAGGACACUCUAUACGGAGUUACAAAGGACGACAUUAGACGAAUCAUCUGGAAAGAUGAAUCAAAGAAGGUAAUAAUCCUGUAGUCGAAAAUGUUGUCUCUCUUGAGUGGAUCCUGAGUACGACGGAGCACGUGAAAUUCCGUCGGAAUCUGGGAGGACCAUCUCCUAAGGCUAAAUACUCUCUAGUGACCGAUAGUGAACCAGUACCGUGAGGGAAAGGUGAAAAGCACCCCGGAAGGGGAGUGAAAUAGAACCUGAAACCGUGUGCUUACAAGUAGUCAGAGCCCGUUAAUGGGUGAUGGCGUGCCUUUUGUAGAAUGAACCGGCGAGUUACGAUUUGAUGCAAGGUUAAGCAGUAAAUGUGGAGCCGUAGCGAAAGCGAGUCUGAAUAGGGCGUUUAGUAUUUGGUCGUAGACCCGAAACCAGGUGAUCUACCCUUGGUCAGGUUGAAGUUCAGGUAACACUGAAUGGAGGACCGAACCGACUUACGUUGAAAAGUGAGCGGAUGAACUGAGGGUAGCGGAGAAAUUCCAAUCGAACCUGGAGAUAGCUGGUUCUCUCCGAAAUAGCUUUAGGGCUAGCCUCAAGUGAUGAUUAUUGGAGGUAGAGCACUGUUUGGACGAGGGGCCCCUCUCGGGUUACCGAAUUCAGACAAACUCCGAAUGCCAAUUAAUUUAACUUGGGAGUCAGAACAUGGGUGAUAAGGUCCGUGUUCGAAAGGGAAACAGCCCAGACCACCAGCUAAGGUCCCAAAAUAUA
rnacentral:rRNA from 1 species